rnacentral:rRNA from 1 species
GACGAACGCUGGCGGCGUGCUUAACACAUGCAAGUCGAACGGAAAGGCCCCUUUGGGGGUACUCGAGUGGCGAACGGGUGAGUAACACGUGAGUAACCUGCCCUUGACUUCGGGAUAACUUCAGGAAACUGGGGCUAAUACCGGAUAGGAAUCCUUGCUGCAUGGUGGGGGUUGGAAAGCUUCGGCGGUUUUGGAUGGACUCGCGGCUUAUCAGCUUGUUGGUGGGGUAGUGGCUUACCAAGACUUUGACGGGUAGCCGGCCUGAGAGGGCGACCGGCCACAUUGGGACUGAGAUACGGCCCAGACUCCUACGGGAGGCAGCAGUGGGGAAUAUUGCACAAUGGGCGGAAGCCUGAUGCAGCAACGCCGCGUGCGGGAUGACGGCCUUCGGGUUGUAAACCGCUUUCAGCAGGGGCGAAGCUUGUGGUGACGGUACCUGCAGAAGAAGCACCGGCUAACUACGUG